AUUCUCCACUUCUGUUGUCUUUAUUCUCCACUUCUGUUGUCUUUAUUCUCCACAAUGAAGACAACAGAAGUGGAGAAUGAAGACAACAGAACUCCACUUCU
rnacentral:pre_miRNA from 1 species